CUAUGCGCCUUGCCAGCCCGCUCAGGUGUGCCAGCAGCCGCGGUAAUACGUAGGGGGCAAGCGUUAUCCGGAUUUACUGGGUGUAAAGGGAGCGUAGACGGCAGCGCAAGUCUGGAGUGAAAUCCCAUAGCUUAACCAUGGAACUGCUUUGGAAACUGUGCAGCUGGAGUGCAGGAGAGGUAAGCGGAAUUCCUAGUGUAGCGGUGAAAUGCGUAGAUAUUAGGAGGAACACCAGUGGCGAAGGCGGCUUACUGGACUGUAACUGACGUUGAGGCUCGAAAGCGUGGGGAGCAAACAGG
rnacentral:rRNA from 1 species